rnacentral:lncRNA from 1 species
UUUUCAAAAACAUCAUUUUGCUACUUUGUUAAAUAAAAAAUUCAUAUAAUAAAAUAAAAAAUAAAACUAUAUAUUUUUUAAAUAUUACUUGUUGAAGUAUAAAUCGAUCACCACUAACGUAAGUGCCAAAAGACUUGAUAUAUAUAGUUAGUAUUCAAGGUUCUAAUUUCGAAGUCAGUUGUUUUAUAUUUUCAGCUAACUAAUUACAGUUUAGUCUUUAUGAAAUAGGAGUAAGAAAAUGUGUAAACUUUUGACCCCGAAACUAUGAGCCAUGUGACAUUUUAAUAUACGAAUUUUAAUUCGUUAUAAUAUUUUGGCUCGAACGAUGAGGCACGUAAUAUUUUAGGCCUUGAACUUUAAUUAAUUAUAAUUUCUGACUCAGUGCUAGAAGGCAUAUGAUAUUUUAGUCCUUAAGCUUUCUGAAUUGUUUUAAUCAAAUCCUACAACUCAUAUUUUUUUGAAUAAAUAUUGAUAAAUUACUGAUAUUGAUAAAUUACUAAAAAGCCUUCCAAAUAAACUUUUUUCCGAUAAAAUUUAUAAGCUAUUUUGAAAUAAAUUUCUCUAUUUUAAUUUUUUUUACUCUUAAUUUUAAUUUAAAUUAUUUCUGUUAGUUAAAUAAAAAUAAUACUAAAUAUGUAAUAGCUUUGUUCAUUAUCAGCAGCUAAUUGUUCAAUUUUAUUUACUAUAAUUAAUUAAUUAAAAAAUUAUUGAAGUAGGAUAAAUUUUCUAAUAUAUAUAAAAGAAAAUAUCAAAAAGAAAAGGGGAAAAAAAUUAUGCGUAAAGACCUCCUGGAAUUUUAGCUAUUUUGAAAAUAAUAUUCUAAGCUUUUAUUUUUGACAAUUAGAUCAUUAACUUUACCAGAUCGUUCAAUAGAUUAUUGAACACAUAUCUUACAUAUAAUCUUGUAUACUUUAAAACUUAUUUCUUCUAUUCUU